CCCCUAGAUGUUCUGGGCCGCACGCGCGCUACACUGAACAGUUCAACAAGUCUUAACCUUGGCCGAUAGGUCUGGGUAAUCUUUGAACGCUGUUCGUGAUUGGGAUAGACCUUUGCAAUUAUGGGUCUUCAACGAGGAAUUCCUAGUAAACGCAAGUCAUCAGCUUGCAUUGAUUACGUCCCUGCCCUUUGUACACAGCGCCCGUCGCACCUACCGAUUGAAUGGUCCGGUGAAAUCUCGGGACGGCGGCUUGGUCGCUUGCGUCCGACUGCUGAAACUUGAUUAAACCAUAUCAUUUAGAGGAAGGUGAAGUCGUAACA
rnacentral:rRNA from 1 species